UGCAGUGGUUAGCAUUGUUGCCUCACACCGCUGGGACCCGGGUUCGAGUGUCUGCCUGGGUUACAUGUGUGUGGAGUUUGCAUGUUCUCCCCAUGUCGUCGUGGGGUUUCCUCCGGGUACUCCGGUUUCCCCCCACAGUCCAAAAACAUGCUGAGGCUCAUUGGACUUGCUAAAUUGCCCGUAGGAGUGCGUGUGUGAGUGACUGGUGUGUGAGUGUGCCCUGCGAUGGGCUGGCCCCCCAUCCUGGGUUGUUCCCUGCCUCGUGCCCAUUGCUUCCGGGAGAGGCUCCGGACCCCCCGUGACCCAGUAGGAUAAGCGGUUUGAAAAAUGGAUGGAUGGAUGGAUGGAUAGUUUAAUAUGCUGUUACAGUUAGAUUUCACUUUUUCUAAUCAUGUAGAUGGCAGAAUUUUAUGUGGUGGAAUUUCCUGAGCGGGAAGAAGUAGCAGUGGUGAGCAAACACUGGAUGAAGGGGGAGAAGAAGUGUCCGUGGCCAACAUUUGUUUCGCCAGAUAAAAUAAGAAAAGCUGCAACCAAUCAGGUAAAACCUGACAUUUCCUGGCAGUGUUAUGCAGGUGAAAUUGCCUAUUCAACAGAAAGUUGUGAGAAAGCCAAGAAAAAUGCCAAGGUGAUAGAAGAGGACUCUUCAUUUUCCAGUGAUCCAGAAUGACAGCUGCAAAGCGGAGAUCGUUGUAGAAGGGUGGCCCUUAUAAAUGGAAAAAAGGCUAAAGAAUAACCAAGGACGUCGGACUGAAUCGCAGACAGCAGACGAAGAAGGCUUCACAGAGACAUUCUGUGAUUUAUUUGACAUUGCUCACCAGAUGCAUUGUCAUUAAUUACUGCUGAAGAAGACAAAGCCUUUCUGCUUGCACAACGUGAACAAGGCCGAAAGGGUGUCAUGGCAGGCGUGGAUGCAUCGUCGGUAAAGAAAAAAGCAGAACUGAACAUUAACCGGAUAAACGCUGUAAGUGGGAAGAAAAACAGAAAGCGGAACUAGAUUUGUUGAACCAAAGUAUUGCGCUCUCCUCAAGUCACUCUUAAUCUUUUUGGCCAAUUUCUGCAUUAUAGAAUCAGAAUGUAUACUCUCUGCAGUUUAAUCCAUUAGCAUCUGUGGUUUGUGUGAAUGUUGUCUAAAGACUGUAAUUGUCUAUUAUGGCUGUGUGGUAUGUCCAAACUCAUGUAACAUUCCAUUGGUAAAUUCAAUUCAAUUCAAUUUAUUUUUAUAUAGCAGUUUUUACAACAAAGUUGCCCCAAUGCGCUUUACAGGAGUGUGUUGUGAAACAUCUUUAACAGAGAUAACGACAGAACACAGAAACAGUGAAAAUGGAAAAAUGAAAGAGAAAGUCAGAUGACAGUGGAGGGCAGGAACCAAAAACUCUCAAGUGGGGAGAAAAAAACCUCUGGGGGUCCAAGGUCAACUGGCAGCCCCACCCCCCUGGGCAUGCUAAUAUUACUGGACGAGGGUAGAGAAGUAGCUGGAUUGUUUGCUAAGAGCAAGGUGUAAACUGUGAUCCGGUCCUAGUUAAAGUCCAUCAGUGAGACAGUCCUCCACAUAGGCCUGUGUCGGGUGGCAGGAUGGAAGCUGCACCGACAUCGUCAUAGAUUGCAGGUCACAUCUGUGAUGGCACCCUUCCGUAGACCCUGAUGGCAGCUCAGAAGGUGCCCCCUCGGGCACCCUCCAGACGUGUGGGAAGGAAGGCAGAGAGUGCAGGUGUCAGAGUGCACUGAUACAUUAAUGGACAAGCACGGUAGGUAAAAAUGGCACGUACAGCAGCAUCAGCAGCCAUAAUUACGGUGUUAAGUGUUAACUUGUGGGUAAGCUAAGCUGAAGUAAUAGGUCUUCAGUCAAGAUUUAAAGACAGACCGAUUCAGCAUCCCGAACAUAGGCUGGUAAGCCAUUCCACAGUAUAGGGGCCCUGUAGCAGAAUGCUUUACCACCAACAGUCGCUUUAGUUUUAUUAAAUAAAAAUGCAGAACUGAUCAUUAACCGGAUAAACGCUGUAAGUGGGAAGAAAAACAGAAAGCGGAACUAGAUUUGUUGAACCAAAGUAUUGCGCUCUCCUCAAGUCACUCUGAAUCUUCUGAUUCAACAUAAAGAGUGUUUGGACGUGCGGCUGUAGAAAACAAAAUAAGCUGAAAGAGAGGAAGGAACUUACUGACUGCUGAUGUUGUAGAAUCACUUGGCUGCACCAAAACAAGUUUUCGCAGUGCAGUGCACACACUCUCCCCUGCUGUUCAUGCAGAAAGUCGACGACUUCAAUAUCAACCACUCUUCCAUUUAACAUGUAAAAGCAUCAUUUUCUCAGAGCAAGUGAACUGAAGGCAAACAGUGGACCACCUUCCAGUCAUUGUGUCUGGGUCUGGAGUUGAUUGACUUCUUCUCUUUUCCAAACUGAGCGCUAGCACUGGUGAAGCAAUGGCUACUGCAAUGCUGGAAGAGGUUGAGUCAUGGGGAAUUAAGGACUCAGUCUUGAUACCACAGCGAGCAAUACUGGGCGAAAAAAAUAGUGCCUGUGUGUAGUUUGAAGGCAAGAUUAAUUCAGACCUGCUGUAUUUGGCUUACCGUCAUCACAUUCAUUAACUAAUGCUAGACGACUUCCGAGCAGAAGUCACACGUUUCUCAGUUGCAGACUGCAUAACUCUGUGAUGACUACAGAGAACUACUUGAACUAGCCAUUGUGUUUCUGGGUGCUGUGCCUCCCCGUGUUCAUAUUACCAAACCUGGUGCAUUGCAUUGAGCUCGCUUCAUGGCCAAGCUGAUAUAUGCAUACAAAAUAUUCUUGUUUCGAACAAAAAGGCUUGGCAGAUCUCUGCACAUUUGGCCUUCAGGUCUACCUCCAAUUGUGGUGCAAUUGCGCCCAUAUUGUGUCACAGUAAAGAAUUUCUUCCUCCUCCAUACAAACCAGUACAUUAAAAAGUUCAUUAUCCUGAAGCAAGCUAUAAACUUGGAUUUGAUUUUGUGCACUCUUGAAAGAAAAUGUAAAAGAAGAUAAAAAUAUAACCAUGGGGGGGAGGGCACAGUGAUGCACUGAUUAGCACUGUUAACUCACACUGUGUUGUUGGGGGGUUUUCUCCAGGUACAACAGUCCCCCCCAGCUAACUGCAUUUAUCAAAUUGUCAAUAGAUGCACAUGUGUGAGUGAAUGCUGUGUGACUGAAUGCUGUGUGAGUGAAACACACCUACACUUGUACAUACAAGAAUGGCUGCAUACGAGGUUGAGCGAUCAGUAUCUUUAUUAUUAUUACUUUUUAGAGUAACUGAUAGGAAUUAAAAUAUUUGUGUAUAUGUGUAUGAUCACAUGUGUGUAUGUUGCAUAUAUAUAAUAACUAUUUGUAACGUUAUUACGAUUAUUAUUGUUGUUGAUAUUAUUGUUGUUAUAACUUUUUAUUGUUGUCAUCAUCAGCCUGCUGUUACUGUUUUGUCGUUUGAUGUCCUUUUAAUGAGUGUUAUGUGUGUUAUGCUAAUUUGUUAUCUGCAUUCCCCUACACUUCGUUUUCUCCAUCCCACCUUUAUUAUCCAUCCAUUGUCCAAACCACUCAUCCUACUGGGUCGCGGGGGGUCCGGAGCCUAUCCCGGAAGCAAUGGGCACGAGGCAGGGAACAACCCUGGAUGGGGGGCCAUCACAGGGCACACUCACACACCAGUCACACACAUAUUUAUCUACUUAUUUAUUUUUUGUAUAAUCACGGUAGUAGGGCAGGUGAGUUCGGAGUGGCCACACUAGAAUUGAAUAUCUUUACACUGUAACUUUAAUUUAAAUUUAAUUUAAUUUAAAAAAUAAAGUUGUCUUCCGAAGAGGGGGGGAUGGUGGUGGGCAGAAAAAAAAAUCAUUGUAUUUAAAUCAACACAGUCAUUAUGAAUUUCUCUGAUAAUUACUGAUUGAAAUUACAAUUGAAUUUGCAUAACCAUUGAUUUUUCUACCAUAGGCUCUCAAUGGUAGAGUGGUAAAAACUGGUCAGCAGCUUUUGGGGGAGGUGGGCCUGAGGAGGGAACACUGAGGAAGUACGUCCUUUAUUGUGCCUUCCCCACCUGGUGAGAGAUGCUUGUGAACCCCUAGGAACUUGAAGCUCUCCACCCUCUCUACCUCUUCUCCAUCGAUGUAGAGGGCAGAGUGCUUAGCUGGCUUGGCUCUCCCGAAGUCCACUGUGUGUGUUAAGUUCCAGGUUAUUACUGUCACCAUUGCCUCAGCUGCUGAAUGGAGGAGAGGACUGAGGACACACCCCUACGUCGUGCCUGUGUUCAGGAGGAGAGAAAUGUGGUCUCCUAUCCUGAUGUUCUGGGGUCUGUUGCUGAGGAAGUCCAUUAUCCAGUGAGCUUCUGAGGCCCAGGUUGCUCAGUAUUAAAGGCGGAGCUGAAGUCCAGACCCAGCACCCUCACAUAAGUGUUGCUGUUGUCCAGAUGUUUCAGGGCUGUGUGGAGAGCUGUUAUUAUGGCUUCCUCUGUUGACCCGUUUGCCCUGUAUGCAAACUGAGGUGUGUUGGUGUCAGCUGCAGUAGCGGCCUUUAUGUAGGGCGUGGUGAGUCUUUCCAAGCAGGAGACCUUGUUGACUUUUUUCUGCUAUGUGGUCUUAUAGUAUGUUAAACGUGAGUCAGAGGAAAAACUCUUUGAGAUUGAGGCAAGUCUCCAGAGUGGUAUAUAUUUUAAUGGUUUGGGGGAGUAUUUGAUUGCCAGUCCUGCCCUUAGGUAAUUAACAUGUACAAAGGUGUCAGGACAGUUGAUACCCUUUUCUGUGCAGCUCCUGGUACCGCCCACUCCUUUGUAGACCAAUGGUGCUGGAUGUAUAUUUGCACAGCAUGACACAGGACAGUUUUUGACUUCACAGAUUUUUUUUUAAUCUAUCACAAUUGUGAUAAAUAAGGUGAGAGAACAAAAAACGACAGAAAUCGAUUCUUAUGCGGUAGGAACUAAUGUCAGGGCCAUACCAUCCUCGAUUUUGCUCAGGCUUGUAAAUAAUAUGCCUUGGUUUCUAAAAAUUAAGCUUAAUUAAAAUCUGAAUAUAAAAUGAACAAACUGAUUUGAUUUAUUGUUCUAUCCUAAGUUGAGGCACAAAGGCAACGAGGCCAACACCCAUUAUAUCUGCUUUAAGGGGAAUGCGGUCCUUCAACCACUAAGGUAGCUCUCAGCCCCGAUAAAUAAUUAUGUUAUGCAGUCUAACACAGUCUAGCUUCAUAAUCAGUGUUUGGUGACUGGUGCCACACAUUUCACUCUCUUUUAUACCACAGGUGGUUCUUAGGAGGGCUUGACUGGUUCUUUCUUAUCCUAACUGAAAAAAAUCUAUUUAGUCAUGCUUAAAUAAACACAUUUAAAAUGAA